rnacentral:rRNA from 1 species
GACGUAGGGCGCGAGCGUUGUCCGGAUUUAUUGGGCGUAAAGAGUUCGUAGGCGGCUUGGCAAGUGGGGUGUGAAAGCCCUCGGCUUAACCGAGGAAUUGCGCUCCAAACUACCGAGCUUGAGUAGGCUAGAGGUGAGCAGAACUGAUGGUGGAGCGGUGAAAUGCGUUGAUAUCUGGAGGAACACCGGUGGCGAAGGCGGCAUCCUGGACCAAUUCUGACGCUGAGGAGCGAAAGCCAGGGGAGCAAACGGG